AUGCUCUCGAAGUUUCUCCAAUACAAGCCGAAGAUGUUCGGCGUGUUCUUCUUCAUUCUUGGAGUAUAUAAGGAUAUCAUCCAAGUAAACCAUGACGAAUUUAUCAAGGUAGUCCAUGAAGAUAUAGUUCAUCAAUCAAGAAAAGGUUGCUGGAGCAUUAGUCAAUCCGAAGGACAUGAUGGUGUACUCAUAAGACCCAUAACGAGUAACGAAGGCGGUCUUCGGAAUAUCCUCCUCGCGAACUCGGAUCUGAUGAUAACCCAACCUCAAGUCGAUUUUAGAGAACACAUAGGAUCCAGCAAGUUGGUCAUAGAGAUCAUUGAUCCGGGUGUGGCGCCCCGCCUGAACACCACUGUAGACAGACGGUCACCGCACACACCAGCCCAGGAAAUCACUCUGGCAUGCGCUUUUACAACAGGUACCAUGAACACAGGCAUUACUGAAAUAUAUCAGUCUUACAUGAUAUAUUACGAGGGUGAUGGCAGUGGAAAAACUCUAUCUAAGGCAGCAGGGUCCUGGUGCGGCUCCAAUCCAUAG
rnacentral:rRNA from 1 species